rnacentral:rRNA from 1 species
UAGGGAAUCUUCGGCAAUGGACGAAAGUCUGACCGAGCAACGCCGCGUGAGUGAAGAAGGUUUUCGGAUCGUAAAACUCUGUUGUUAGAGAAGAACAAGGACGUUAGUAACUGAACGUCCCCUGACGGUAUCUAACCAGAAAGCCACGGCUAACUACGUGCCAGCAGCCGCGGUAAUACGUAGGUGGCAAGCGUUGUCCGGAUUUAUUGGGCGUAAAGCGAGCGCAGGCGGUUUCUUAAGUCUGAUGUGAAAGACCCCGGCUCAACCGGGGAGGGUCAUUGGAAACUGGGAGACUUGAGUGCAGAAGAGGAGAGUGGAAUUCCAUGUGUAGCGGUGAAAUGCGUAGAUAUAUGGAGGAACACCAGUGGCGAAGGCGGCUCUCUGGUCUGUAACUGACGCUGAGGCUCGAAAGCGUGGGGAGCAAACAGG